rnacentral:rRNA from 1 species
AUUGAACGCUGGCGGCAUGCCUUACACAUGCAAGUCGAACGGUAACGGGCCUUCGGGUGCCGACGAGUGGCGAACGGGUGAGUAAUACAUCGGAACGUGCCCGAUCGUGGGGGAUAACGAGGCGAAAGCUUUGCUAAUACCGCAUACGAUCUACGGAUGAAAGCAGGGGACCGCAAGGCCUUGCGCGGACGGAGCGGCCGAUGGCAGAUUAGGUAGUUGGUGGGAUAAAAGCUUACCAAGCCGACGAUCUGUAGCUGGUCUGAGAGGAUGAUCAGCCACACUGGGACUGAGACGCGGCCCAGACACCGACGGGAGGCAGCAGCGGGGAAUUUUGGACAAUGGGCGCAAGCCUGCACCAGCCAUGCCGCGUGCAGGAUGAAGGCCUUCGGGUUGUAAACUGCUUUUGUACGGAACGAAAAGCCUUCUUUUAAUACAGGAGGGUCAUGACGGUACCGUAAGAAUAAGCACCGGCUAACUACGU